rnacentral:rRNA from 1 species
GACGGAGGAUGCAAGCGUUAUCCGGAAUGAUUGGGCGUAAAGCGUUCGAAGGUGGCUAUUCAAGUCUGCUGUCAAAGACCGGGGCUUAACCCCAGAGAGGCAGUGGAAACUGAAUGGCUGGAGUGCCGAUCGGGUAGAGGUAAUUCCCAGUGUAUCGGUGAAAUGCGUAGAGAUUGGGAAGAACACCGGUGGCGAAAGAGCUCUGCUGGACUGCAACUGACACUGAGGGACGAAAGCUAGGGGAGCGAAAGGG